rnacentral:lncRNA from 1 species
CCCGGGAAUGCCUUGAUGCCUGAGACUUUAAUUUCUUCUGGUUUCCUUUGCAGGAGCUGCAGGUAUUCGUGAGCCGGGCUGCCCUGCAGCAACUAUUUUCAAGGCAAUAACUUGGAUGGGAUGGAGGGGCGAGAAGAGGGGGAGCUUCCUUGGUCCCUUUAUCCUCAGCCCUGGUCUCCCAGCCUUCGGCCACCUGAUGGAGUCCCCACCUCUGAGAAGCAUACCUACUGUACCCCUCGGGGUCCUGUGCAUGCAGCACAGUAUUAAAGUGUAUGUUGGCUCUCAAAAUUGUGUCCCUGGGGAACAUCUUCUAGUCAAUUUCAAAGCGGAUGUAAAAGCUCAGAGAAGACGUAGCCCAGAGUGUGAGAGAACAUUCCCAAAGUCCGCUGGGGAGUGGCUUUGUGAGCCCAGAGACUGGACAUGAGCCGAAGGGAUGGGGGAGUGCUGGGCAGGGCUCCAGGACACAUCCUCCAGCCAGGUGAGAGUGUGGAAAGGCUCACUGCAGAAUCCAGCUUGGGUGG